UACAGAGGUCCCAAGCGUUGUUCGGAUUCAUUGGGCGUAAAGGGUGCGUAGGUGGCGCUGUAAGUCGGGUGUGAAAUUUCGGAGCUUAACUCCGAAACUGCAUUCGAUACUGCGGUGCUCGAGGACUGGAGAGGAGACUGGAAUUCAUGGUGUAGCAGUGAAAUGCGUAGAGAUCAUGAGGAAGACCAGUGGCGAAGGCGGGUCUCUGGACAGUUCCUGACGCUGAGGCACGAAGGCCAGGGGAGCAAACGGG
rnacentral:rRNA from 1 species